rnacentral:rRNA from 1 species
UUCGGCCUUAGUGGCGCACGGGUGAGUAACACGUGGGAAUAUACCUCUUGGUGGGGAAUAACGUCGGGAAACUGACGCUAAUACCGCAUACGCCCUUUCAUAGCGAUAUGGUGGGGGAAAGAUUUAUCGCCGAGAGAUUAGCCCGCGUCCGAUUAGGUAGUUGGUGAGGUAACGGCUCACCAAGCCGACGAUCGGUAGCUGGUCUGGGAGGAUGAUCAGCCACACUGGGACUGAGACACGGCCCAGACUCCUACGGGAGGCAGCAGUGGGGAGUAUUGGACAAUGGGGGCAACCCUGAUCCAGCCAUGCCGCGUGAGUGAUGAAGGCCUUAGGGUUGUAAAGCUCUUUCACCCACGACGAUGAUGACGGUAGUGGGAGAAGAAGCCCCGGCUAACUUCGUGCCAGCAGCCGCGGUAAUACGAAGGGGGCUAGCGUUGUUCGGAAUUACUGGGCGUAAAGCGCACGCAGGCGGCGGUUCAAG